UAUUACUGUAAUGACAAAAGUAACUUACUCUCGAAAGAAAAGGUGGUCAAAAUUUGCUACAUUAAAAGUUUUUUUCUUGUUUUGAAAAUGAAAACUUUUACUGCUACAGUUUUUGAAAAUCUCAUUGCUUACUGAAUUAAAAGUUUUAACUUUUAAUUCGACUAUAUAAUUUCUUUCAUUUUGUCGUUCUCGUGUAACCGUCGACGCCUAAGUCCGAAAUGUAAACAAACGUUUAGGUGCAGGUGAUUUCGGUGGUUAGUGAGGUGUGGUUCACGACGGCAAUCAAUGCCGAGCGCGGCCACAGCCAGGACAUAAACCACGACUUGGACGCGGAAACCUUCGAAGGAGGAUGGUGCCAAAGCGGAACAAGUUUGGGGAUUUAGGGGAAAGUUGGUUUUCAAAAGGAUAAGGCCAGCUUCCUGCAGGACCUGCAGCUGUUUCACGACCGGAAUGGGACGCCGUUUAUGCGGUUGCCGAAGAUCGGAGGUCGGGAUGUGGAUUUGCACCGGUUGUAUUCCCGGGGUGGAACGCGGUGGGUAGACGAGAUUGAAGUUGAAGCAGAUUUGCAUCCGCUUUUUGAACAAGUACCAGUUAAUUUUAACGGUGAGGAGAAGGAUCCGACGGAAGAGGAAAACGACGAGAAGCGGCAUAAUCGGAGGUGGUCAGUGCGGAUGUUGCACUCGGUGCCGGCGGUUUAUGACCAUCAGCAGCAUUAUGUGCCGGAAGUGAUGACGGGUCAGUGUGGGAUGUCCUGAGGGUCCGCAGUCCAUUUCUCGUUGCGGGACAUGUUUGACGAGUAUUACCUAAACAUCCGGAAGAACAGUUUGCACCAGUUCUGGAAGGACCGUCUGUACGAAAGCCGCAGGUAUUGGAACUGUCUUAAUCGGAUUACUUCCAGAGGUUGGAGCGAGAUUCGACGAACCUGAUCAAGAACAUCUACCUGGAAUACCGAAGAAGUCACCGCAACUCCCACCCGCAAACGCUCAUCUCGCGAUGGCGCAGCUUCUUCCGGAUGAACUUUGACGGCGAGUUUGCAACAUCUGGGAGGACGAAGUGAUCGGGAACUAUCUUUUCAGGCCGAGUUUCAGGCGCUUCACUUCCCAGCCGGAAAACGUCGACUUCCCUUCCCGAAUCAACAACCAAUGGCCAAUUCCUCCAAGCCUGUCCAGAUGAUGGCCGGCAACGAGACCACCCUGUUCUCUACAUCGCUGUCGAGCUCCAAAAUGAAGGGCGCGAUGUUGCUGCCCUACGAAACGUCCAUCCGUAGGGGUCUUCGGACGCGGAAGUUAGCUAACCAUAAGCAGAUGCGUUAAAUACAACAAUAAAACCAAAACAUACUGUUUUAAUAUUAAAAUAUUGAAAUAAAAUCCAUCACAUUUUUCGAAAAUCAUCACUGUAGUGUUAAGUGUUUUUUAUUCUUGCGAUGAAAAGUUUUUUCUUAUAUGAAAAGUAAAAGACUUUUACCGAUACAACGAUUUUGUUCCAGAAAUGCAUGGUAGUAUCAAAAACUUUCCAACUUUUAAAUUAAAAAGUUUGAACUUUCUACGAAUAUUCACCAACGCGAACUUUUAAUCCAACGAACGAUCUUUUUAAAUUUAGAGUAUUUUUUCUUUGUGUGUAUGGUAAUGUCAAAAGUAACUUACUUUUGAAUUAAAAAGUUGUUAAAAUUUGCUACAUUAAAAGUUUUUUUCUUGUUUUGAAAAUGAAAACUUUUACUGCUACAGUUUUUGAAAAUCUCAUUGCUAACUGAUUUAAAAGUUUUAACUUUUAAUUCGACUGUAUAAUUUCUUUCAUUUUGUCGUUCUCGUGUAACCGUAUACGCCUAAGUCCAAAAUGUAAACAAACGUUUAGGUGAUUCGGGUGGUUAGUGAGUGGUGGUCCACGACGUCAAUCAAAACAGAACGCGUCCGCAGCCAGGACUUGGACGCGGAUACCUUCGAAGGAGGAUGGUGCGGGUGCGGAACAAGGUUAGGAAUUAGAGGAAAAUUGGUUUUCAAAAGGAUAAGGCCAGCUUCCUGCCGGAUCUGCAGCUGUUUCACGACCGAAAUGGGACGCCGUUCAUGCGGAUGUGAAUUUGCACCGGUUGUAUUCAGUGGUGGUGGCCCGGGGUGGGUAGACGAGAUUGAAGUUGAAGCAGAUUUCAAUCCGCUUUUUGAACAAGUACGAUAAAGUUAAUUUUAACGGUGAGGAGAAGGAUCCGACGGAAGAGGAAUACGACGAGAAGCGGCAUAAUCGGAGGUGGUCAGCGCGGAUGUUGCACUCGGUGCCGGCGGUUUACGACCAUUAGCAGCAUUAUGUGCCGGAAGUGAUGACGGGUCAGUGUGGGAUGUCCUGAGGGUCCGCAGUCCAUUUCUCGUUACGGGACAUGUUUGAUGAGUAUUACCUAAACAUCCGGAAGAACAGUUUGCACCAGUUCUGGAAAGACCGUCUGUACGAAAGCCGCAGGUCCUGGAGCUGUCGUAAUCGGAUUACUUCCAGAGGUUGGAGCGAGAUCCGACGAACCUGAUCAAGAACAUCUACCUGGAAUACCGAAGAAGUCACCGCUACUCCCGCCCGCAAACGCUCAACUCGCGACGGCGCAGCUUCAGCCGGAUGAACUGGCAACAUCUGUGUCAUUCUCGAAGGAGGACGAAGUGAUCGGGAACUAUCCGUUCAGGCGCUUCACUUCCCAGCCGGAAAACGUCGACUUCCCUACCCGAAUCAACAACCAAUGGCCAACUCCUCCAAGCCUGUCCAGAUGAUGGCCGGCAACGAGAUCGCCCUGUUCUCUACAUCGCUGUCGAGCUCCAAAAUGAAGGGCGCGAUGUUGCUGCCCUACGAAACGACCAUCAGUAAUCUGCUCAC